rnacentral:rRNA from 1 species
GACGAACGCUGGCGGCGUGCCUAAUACAUGCAAGUCGAGCGGACCGAACAGGAGCUUGCUCUUGUUCGGUUAGCGGCGGACGGGUGAGUAACACGUGGGUAACCUGCCCGUAAGACCGGGAUAACUCCGGGAAACCGGAGCUAAUACCGGAUAACAUCGAAGACCGCAUGGUCUUUUGUUGAAAGGCGGCUUUGGCUGCCACUUUCGGAUGGGCCCGCGGCGCUUUGGGUAGUUGGUGAAGUAACGGCUCACCAAGGCGAAGAUGCGGAGCCGGCCUGGAGGGGUGGCCGGCCAACAUGGGACCGAGGCACGGCCCAGACUCCUACGGGGGGCAGCAGUAGGGAAACUUCCGCAAUGGACGGAAGUCUGACGGGGCGACGCCGCGGGAGCGGAGAAGGGCUUCGGAUCGUAAAGCUCUGUUGUUAGGGAAGAAGAAGCGUCGUUCGAACAGGGCGGCGCGGUGACGGUACCUAACGAGAAAGCCCCGGCUAACUACGUG